AGGUGAACCUGCGGAAGGAUCAUUAAUAGUGCUCUCUGAUGCAAAUCAUUGAGUUAGAUCUGCUCUCCUCGCAAGAGGAGGGUUUCCAUACACACCGUGAACUGUGGCUUCGGCCAUCACAAACUGUUAGUAAUGAAUGUAAUAUCAUAACAAAAACAAAACUUUUAACAACGGAUCUCUUGGCUUUCG
rnacentral:misc_RNA from 1 species